rnacentral:rRNA from 1 species
UACAGAGGGUGCAAGCGUUAAUCGGAAUUACUGGGCGUAAAGCGUGCGCAGAUGGUUACGUAAGUCGGGUGUGAAAGCCCCGGGCUCAACCUGGGGAUUGCAUUCGAGACUGCGUAGCUAGGGUGCGGAAGAGGGAAGCGGAAUUUCCGGUGUAGCGGUGAAAUGCGUAGAUAUCAGGAGGAACACCGGUGGUGUAAACGGCUUUCUGGACCGUAACUGACGCUGAUGCACGAAAGCGUGGGUAGCAAACAGG